rnacentral:tRNA from 1 species
CAAAAUAUAGCUUAACCAAAGCAUCUCGCUUACACCGAGAAAAUAUCUGUUAAACCCGGAUUACUUUGAGC